rnacentral:rRNA from 1 species
UGCAGUCGAACGAACUUCCGUUAAUUGAUUAUGACGUACUUGUACUGAUUGAGAUUUUAACACGAAGUGAGUGGCGAACGGGUGAGUAACACGUGGGUAACCUGCCCAGAAGUAGGGGAUAACACCUGGAAACAGAUGCUAAUACCGUAUAACAGAGAAAACCGCAUGGUUUUCUUUUGAAAGAUGGCUCUGCUAUCACUUCUGGAUGGACCCGCGGCGUAUUAGCUAGUUGGUGAGGUAAAGGCUCACCAAGGCAGUGAUACGUAGCCGACCUGAGAGGGUAAUCGGCCACAUUGGGACUGAGACACGGCCCAGACUCCUACGGGAGGCAGCAGUAGGGAAUCUUCCACAAUGGACGCAAGUCUGAUGGAGCAACGCCGCGUGAGUGAAGAAGGGUUUCGGCUCGUAAAGCUCUGUUGUUAAAGAAGAACGUGGGUAAGAGUAACUGUUUACCCAGUGACGGUAUUUAACCAGAAAGCCACGGCUAACUACGUGCCAGCAGCCGCGGUAAUACGUAGGUGGCAAGCGUUAUCCGGAUUUAUUGGGCGUAAAGCGAGCGCAGGCGGUCUUUUAAGUCUAAUGUGAAAGCCUUCGGCUCAACCGAAGAAGUGCAUUGGAAACUGGGAGACUUGAGUGCAGAAGAGGACAGUGGAACUCCAUGUGUAGCGGUGAAAUGCGUAGAUAUAUGGAAGAACACCAGUGGCGAAGGCGGCUGUCUGGUCUGCAACUGACGCUGAGGCUCGAAAGCAUGGGUAGCGAACAGGAUUAGAUACCCUGGUAGUCCAUGCCGUAAACGAUGAUUACUAAGUGUUGGAGGGUUUCCGCCCUUCAGUGCUGCAGCUAACGCAUUAAGUAAUCCGCCUGGGGAGUACGACCGCAAGGUUGAAACUCAAAAGAAUUGACGGGGGCCCGCACAAGCGGUGGAGCAUGUGGUUUAAUUCGAAGCUACGCGAAGAACCUUACCAGGUCUUGACAUCUUCUGACAGUCUAAGAGAUUAGAGGUUCCCUUCGGGGACAGAAUGACAGGUGGUGCAUGGUUGUCGUCAGCUCGUGUCGUGAGAUGUUGGGUUAAGUCCCGCAACGAGCGCAACCCUUAUUACUAGUUGCCAGCAUUAAGUUGGGCACUCUAGUGAGACUGCCGGUGACAAACCGGAGGAAGGUGGGGACGACGUCAAAUCAUCAUGCCCCUUAUGACCUGGGCUACACACGUGCUACAAUGGAUGGUACAACGAGUCGCGAGACCGCGAGGUUAAGCUAAUCUCUUAAAACCAUUCUCAGUUCGGACUGUAGGCUGCAACUCGCCUACACGAAGUCGGAAUCGCUAGUAAUCGCGGAUCAGCAUGCCGCGGUGAAUACGUUCCCGGGCCUUGUACACACCGCCCGUCACACCAUGAGAGUUUGUAACACCCAAAGCCGGUGGGGUAACCU